UACAGAGGUCCCAAGCGUUGUUCGGAUUCACUGGGCGUAAAGGGUGCGUAGGUGGUCAGGUAAGUCUGAUGUGAAAUCUCUGGGCUCAACCCAGAAACUGCAUUGGAUACUAUCUGGCUAGAGGAGUGGAGGGGGGGACUGGAAUACUUGGUGUAGCAGUGAAAAUGCGUAGAUAUCAAGUGGAACACCAGUGGCGAAGGCGAGUCCCCUGGACACUUCCUGACACUGAGGCACGAAAGCUAGGGGAGCAAACAGG
rnacentral:rRNA from 1 species